rnacentral:rRNA from 1 species
GUGAGGGAUAUUGGUCAAUGGGGGAAACCCUGAACCAGCAACGCCGCGUGAGGGAAGACGGUUUUCGGAUUGUAAACCUCUGUCCUCUGUGAAGAUAAUGACGGUAGCAGAGGAGGAAGCUCCGGCUAACUACGUGCCAGCAGCCGCGGUAAUACGUAGGGAGCGAGCGUUGUCCGGAUUUACUGGGUGUAAAGGGUGCGUAGGCGGCUUUUCAAGUCAGAAGUGAAAUGCAUGGGCUUAACCCAUGAACUGCUUUUGAAACUGGAGAGCUUGAGUGGAGUAGAGGUAGGCGGAAUUCCCGGUGUAGCGGUGAAAUGCGUAGAGAUCGGGAGGAACACCAGUGGCGAAGGCGGCCUACUGGGCUCUAACUGACGCUGAGGCACGAAAGCGUGGGUAGCAAACAGG